GUGAGGAAUUUUCCGCAAUGGGCGAAAGCCUGACGGAGCAAUGCCGCGUGAAGGAUGAAGGCCUAUGGGUUGUAAACUUCUUUUCUCAGAGAAGAAAUUUUGACGGUAUCUGAGGAAUAAGCAUCGGCUAACUCUGUGCCAGCAGCCGCGGUAAGACAGAGGAUGCAAGCGUUAUCCGGAAUGAUUGGGCGUAAAGCGUCUGUAGGUGGCUUGAAAAGUCUCCUGUCAAAGAUCAGGGCUUAACCCUGGGCCGGCAGGAGAAACUCUUAGGCUAGAGUUUGGUAGGGGCAGAGGGAAUUCCCGGUGGAGCGGUGAAAUGCGUAGAGAUCGGGAGGAACACCAAAGGCGAAAGCACUCUGCUGGGCCAUUACUGACACUGAGAGACGAAAGCGAGGGGAGCAAAUGGGAUUAGAUACCCGUGUAGUCC
rnacentral:rRNA from 1 species